rnacentral:lncRNA from 1 species
CAAUUAUACAUAAAACAAGCAAAUAACUCAGUAAUCUGGUAGAUCGCUUCCAGUUCCUCAUAUGUAGUCGGAAUAAUUACCAAACAGACCAGAUGAAUUUUCAUAUCCUUUCCCUUGUUGAGCUUUCUUUCGCAAGAUUCUUGCUUGCUUAUUUUGGAAGAACUCACAUAGGUCAUCUAUUAUCAAAUUCUCCAAAGGCAUGGGCAGAUGAUGCAAUGUUAACACCACUUUGUUUGUGAUACAUUGCUUGAGCUGUGUUAUUGUCAUCGCCAUAUUUUUUUUACACCGUCAAGCAUAGGCCAUACAUGGUCAAACUUGAACCUUCUCUUGAAGUUUGGCUCUCCAUAUAGCAAUUGUUGCUCAAAACAUCUACGAAACAAAGACAAUGUAGUGUUAAGCUAAACUUAAUAUUUGAAAGCAUACUUUGCAAUAAAAUGCUCACAAUAUCUUCAUCUGAAACACCACUUGGAUUCAAAAGUUCCAUAUGUCAAACACAUCCCUG